UACGUAGGGGGCAAGCGUUGUCCGGAAUCAUUGGGCGUAAAGCGCGUGUAGGCGGCCACGUUAGUCCGCUCUGAAAGCCCGGGGCUCAACCCCGGGAGGCGGGUGGAUACUGCGUGGCUCGAGUCCGGAAGAGGCGAGUGGAAUUCCUGGUGUAGCGGUGAAAUGCGCAGAUAUCAGGAGGAACACCAAUGGCGAAGGAAGCUCGCGGGGACGUGAAUGACGUUGAGACGCGAAAGCGUGGGGAGCAAACAGG
rnacentral:rRNA from 1 species